rnacentral:rRNA from 1 species
UGGGGAAUAUUGCGCAAUGGGCGAAAGCCUGACGCAGCGACGCCGCGUGAGGGAUGAAGGUCUUCGGAUCGUAAACCUCUGUCAGCAGGGAAGAAAUUUUAGUGUGCUAAUCAGCAUUAAAUUGACGGUACCUGCAAAGGAAGCACCGGCUAACUCCGUGCCAGCAGCCGCGGUAAUACGGAGGGUGCGAGCGUUAAUCGGAAUUACUGGGCGUAAAGCGCUCGUAGGUGGUAUGUCAAGUCAAGGGUGAAAUCCCCGCGCUCAACGUGGGAACUGCCUUUGAAACUGGUAGACUUGAGUGUGUGAGAGGAUAGUGGAAUUCCAGGUGUAGGAGUGAAAUCCGUAGAUAUCUGGAGGAACAUCAGUGGCGAAGGCGACUAUCUGGCACAUAACUGACACUGAGGAGCGAAGCGUGGGUAGCAAACAGGAUUAGAUACC